GGUUGGAGCUUACACCCACCCGUGUCUACNUACUAUUGUUGCUUUGGCGGGCCGUGGCCUCCACUGCGGGCUCUGCUCGUGUGUGCCCGCCAGAGAACCAAACUCUGAAUGUUAGUGAUGUCUGAGUACUAUCUAAUAGUUAAAACUUUCAACAACGGAUCUCUUGGUUCUGGCAUCGAUGAAGAACGCAGCGAAAUGCGAUAAGUAAUGUGAAUUGCAGAAUUCAGUGAAUCAUCGAAUCUUUGAACGCACAUUGCGCCCUGUGGUAUUCCGCAGGGCAUGCCUGUUCGAGCGUCAUUUAACCACUCACGCCUAGCGUGGUAUUGGGGCACGCGGUCUCCGCGGCCCUCAAAAUUAGUGGCGGCGCCGGUGGGCUCUAAGCGUAGUACAUACUCCCGCUAUAGAGUUCCCCCGGUGGCUCGCCAGAACCCCCAAUUUUUACAGGUUGACCUCGGAUCAGGUAGGGAUACCCGCUGAACUUAAGCAUAUCAAUAAGCGGAGGAAAAGAAACCAACAGGGAUUACCUCAGUAACGGCGAGUGAAGCGGUAACAGCUCNNUUUGAAAGCUGCCAACAGGCCGCGUUGUAAUUUGUAGAAGCUGCUUUGGGUGUCGGCCCGGUCUAAGUUCCUUGGAACAGGACGU
rnacentral:rRNA from 1 species